UACGUAGGGUGCAAGCGUUGUCCGGAAUUAUUGGGCGUAAAGAGCUCGUAGGUGGCCUGUCGCGUCGGCUGUGAAAACUCGGGGCUCAACUCCGAGCUUGCAGUCGAUACGGGCAGGCUAGAGUUCGGCAGGGGAGACUGGAAUUCCUGGUGUAGCGGUGAAAUGCGCAGAUAUCAGGAGGAACACCGGUGGCGAAGGCGGGUCUCUGGGCUGUAACUGACGCUGAGGAGCGAAAGCAUGGGGAGCGAACAGG
rnacentral:rRNA from 1 species